rnacentral:rRNA from 1 species
AGAACGAACGCUGGCGGCAUGCCUAAUACAUGCAAGUCGAACGAACACUUCGGUGUUAGUGGCGCACGGGUGCGUAACGCGUGGGAAUCUGCCCUUGGGUUCGGAAUAACAGUUGGAAACGACUGCUAAUACCGGAUGAUAUCGAAAGAUCAAAGAUUUAUCGCCCAGGGAUGAGCCCGCGUAGGAUUAGCUAGUUGGUGAGGUAAAGGCUCACCAAGGCGACGAUCCUUAGCUGGUCUGAGAGGAUGAUCAGCCACACUGGGACUGAGACACGGCCCAGACUCCUACGGGAGCAGCGAGUAGGGAAUAUUGGACAAUGGGCGCAAGCCUGAAUCCAAGCAAUGCCGCGUGAGUGAUGAAGCUUAGGGUUAGUAAAGCUUACUUUACCCGAGUA